GUUCAGAUGACCGAGUGGUUAAGGUGAUGCCCUGCUAUGUUUCAUAGUGACCAAGGCAUUGUGCUUUGCACGCGGGUGUUCGAAUCGCCCUCUGAACG
rnacentral:tRNA from 1 species